rnacentral:rRNA from 1 species
UACCCUCGUACCUUUUGCAUCAUGAAUUAGCCAGUAAAACUAAGCAAAGAGCCCUUAAGUUUAGUACCCCGAAACUAGGUGAGCUACUCCAAGACAGCCUAUUAAAGGGCAAACCCGUCUCUGUGGCAAAAGAGUGGGAAGAGCUUCGAGUAGCGGUGACAGACCUACCGAACCUAGUAAUAGCUGGUUGCCUGAGAAGUGGAUAUAAGUUCAGCCCUGUAAUUUUCUUUCUAAAUUAUAGGAGUUAGUCAAAAGGGGUACAGCCCUUUUGAACCAAGAUACAACUUUAUAAGGAGGGAAUAGAUCAUAAUACUAAAGGUAAAAUGUUUUAGUGGGCCUAAAAGCAGCCACCUAAAUAGAAAGCGUUAUAGCUCAGACAUAAAAUCAAGAUAACAAUUCUCAACCCCCUAACCAUAACAGGCCCUCCCAUGCUAACAUGGGAAUGAUAAUGCUAAUAUGAGUAAUAAGAGAGGACCCUCUCCCUGCCCAUGUGUAUAUCGGAACGGACAAACCACCGACCAUUAACGCCCCCAAACAAAGAGGGCAUUAAACAUCCACUAGAAAACCGUUUAGCGUUAACCCCACACUGGUGAGCAUACAGGGAAAGACUAAAAGAAUGAGAAGGAACUCGGCAAACAAGCCUCGCCUGUUUACCAAAAACAUCGCCUCUUGCAAGAAUAAGAGGUCGCGCCUGCCCAGUGACAAUUAGUUUAACGGCCGCGGUAUUUUGACCGUGCUAAGGUAGCGUAAUCACUUGUCUUUUAAAUGAAGACCUGUAUGAAUGGUAUGACGAGGGCUUAACUGUCUCCUCACUCUAGUCAAUGAAAUUGAUCUUCCCGUGCAGAAGCGGGAAUAAAUACAUAAGACGAGAAGACCCUAUGGAGCUUUAGAUACUAGAAUAGACCAUGUUAAUAAACUCUAAAUUAAAGAAUUGAACCUAAUGGAAUACUAUUUUUAUAUCUUCGGUUGGGGCGACCAUGGGGAAAUAUAAAACCCCCACGUGGAAUAAGAGAACUCUUAAAAACAUAGAGCCACACCUCCAAUUAACAGAACUUCUGACCAAAAAUGAUCCGGCAAUGCCGAUCAACGGACCAAGUUACCCUAGGGAUAACAGCGCAAUCCCCUUUUAGAGCCCUUAUCAACAAGGGGGUUUACGACCUCGAUGU